GUUCUGGUGGCGUAGCCCGGUAGCGCGCCCCGCUCACAGUACAAUACUUAGAACCGGGGAGGUCGCGAGUUCAAGUCUCGCCUGGAACA